CCCACUUUCUCUCUCUCUCUCUCUCUCUCUCUCUCUCUCUCUCGUCGCUCUUCCUGCCGGGCUGCUGCUUUGCGCGCUGCGGGGCCACACUGCAACCGCACCGAGGAGGAAGAGGAGAAAGCCGCGGACCAACAGGGGGGCCAGCCUGAGGCAGAGCGGCGGAGAGGCGCAAUUUAAAAGAAGAAGAAAAAGCAGAAGAGGAGGGUUCGAGCGCGCCGUCACCACACGGAUAAAAAAAAAAUCCUCCUCCUAAGAAGCAGCAGCAGCAGCAGCAGCAGAAGGCGGAGACGCGUCACACCGCGCUCUUCCUCCCUCCAUCUCUCUGCUCCGCUUUUCAGGGGAAUCGAACCAUAGGAGAGAAAAAAAACGAGAGGAGGACGAAUAGAGAAAAAAAAAUCUUGUUGGGGAAUCUCGGAGCGCAAAACGACGAACGGCGCGGUGUUGGAAACCUCCCCCCCUCCCCUCCCGGACCAGGGCCGAUUCUCCGUUUUCUAGCAGCCAGCUCGGCGCGGCGACACCAUGAAGGACCGUACGGCGGAACUGCGAAGUGCUAAGGACAGUGAUGAUGAUGAGGAGGUGGUGCAGGUCGACAGGGACCGCUUCAUGGAUGAGUUCUUUGAACAGGUGGAGGAGAUCAGAGGCUGUAUAGAGAAGCUGUCGGAGGAUGUGGAGCAGGUCAAGAAGCAGCACAGCGCCAUCCUGGCCGCACCCAACCCUGACGAAAG